rnacentral:misc_RNA from 1 species
UCUCCGUCGGUGAACCAGCGGAGGGAUCAUUACAGGACUCGCAAGACUCCUACAACCCUGUGAACUUAACUAUAAGCACGUUGCUUCGGCGGGUGUCUCGGAGGGGGUUCUCCCUCCCCGAGACGCUAAACCCGCCGGCAGCCUACUAUACUCUGUCUCUUUGCGUUGGCAUCUCGAGUACAAUCAAACAAGUUAAAACUUUCAACAACGGAUCUCUUGGUUCUG